UUGAACUCGGGACCUUUGGAAGAGCAGUCGGGUGCUGCAUGAUUAUCAGAAGAGUCCCAGAGCACAGAAGACAUAGAGAGAAGUCGUUUCUCCCGGCUGUAGGCAGCCCUCAGCCAACCUGUCUUCAGCAGACACUCAAAGGCCACUUUUGCUACAGUGGUGACUCUUCACUAGAGCUGCAGGACCUGAUGGGCAUCUGAGAUGGAACAAAACUCUGAAAAAACUCCAUCUUCAAACCAUAUCUGUCCCCUUAACUAUCUCAACCUUUGGGCCAGACUCUCUACUCAGUUGAUAGGUUGAAUGUUGUGUGAUAUUUUGUUUGUGUUCUGACAAAUAAAGCUUGCCUGAA